GACCAGUCCGGUGAGGUCCACCGAAGAAGAAGAUCGGAGCUCUGGCUCUGGAGGUGUGGUGGCACACUUCUGAACCACAUGAUCCUUCUAUUUUGUUUUAAUCUGGGGUGUCCAAAGUGAUUGCCACGCGCGUGGAACAUUUGACUUGGAGUAUGGUGGAACGCGCGCUCAGAUCCACUUGAUCUGCCACCUCAAUUAAUGAGGGAGAUCAAGUUGUCCAUAUUUUUUUUUGUAAUUUUUU
rnacentral:lncRNA from 1 species